CUGCAGCCCGUUAAGCUGACCAUGCUCUUUCCCCCAUGAGAGCCCCAUGUGCAAUGCUGCAAACAGCAGACUCCUUGCUAGUGCAGACAGCCUACUGCCUGUAUAGAUUGCCUUAAGGGACCUUGGAGAAGCCC
ensembl:snoRNA SNORA70 Small nucleolar RNA SNORA70